CAACAUUCUCCACAACCCUAAAACCAAACCCUAGAUCCACUCAACACAUUUCUGGCCGUCACUUCUAGGGGAUUUCUCAUCUCUCUAAUCAGAUCUUCUUCCGCUAUUGAAGCAUCUUCUAGUUAAUCAAUCAUCAGCAUCUUCAUCGGCAGCUCACACAGAUACAUAGAAGGAAGAUGAGGUUCUGAAAAGAAACACUGAUUGCGUUUACUUUCUUGCUUCACCCUUAACUUGCAAAAAGUUCCUCAACAUUUAGACUCUUAGAGAGUACGUAGAAUAUGAGAUGAAGAUCCCUGGUCAUGAGUUUGAUUUUGAGCAAAUUGUUGAUGAUUUUGUUUAUAUAAAUGCCUAUUUUUGGAAUUUCGUGAGGCACACUUUCAUUCUCUCCUAUGAUGAGAAACAGAAAAUCUGGAAAGCAGUUGAGAAGCUACUUAUAGAUAACCAAGUCGAGGCAAGUAUUUUUUUCGUUUUUUAAUUAUCAGCUUUCUCUGACUAUGGUUGGUUGGAUAGAUAUGGCAAAAUGGGAUGUUUGGGUUACCGCAACAGGUAUUUUUCUUUAAACAGUUUGGGUUGUGUUAACGCAACGCGUUUAAAUUCUUUUGAGUUUUGUGAAUAGUGUAUUAGAUAAACGUAGGGAUGUGAACACACCAAGCCGAACUGGUUACCCGAGCAUGCGACCUUAUUGGCCCCUUUUUGUCGGUGAGCCGUCACGUGUUAAAUCCAUUGUUACAAAAUCAGUUGCAGAGUUCCGCCGAACCCAACCAGAUACUCGGAGUGUUCAAAAAGAUUCAUUCAUUGAAGAAUAGCUCGAGGCAAGAUUAUAAUGCACUUUACAUUUAUAACAAAACAAUUAGAAAAUUGUGAAUUUAAUUUAAAAUAACAAACCAUGGUUGAUUCUUGCAUGUUCCUCAUUCUUAGAUCAGGUGAAUUUAUUUUAAGAAUAAGAUUUAAGUUGAUAGAUAUUUUCUUAAUCGAUAAUGUAGACGGGUAGAGCAAUGGAUUGUUCCCUUUAAAUGUUGUACAAACAUCACAUUGGUUUGUCGAUUACAUGAUUCUUUAAAAUGUUUGUUUUUUCUAGACAGGUAUACCUGCUUUUUGUCAUGCAUGCAGGAAUUUAGAACUUUUUUAUAUGAUUUUUUACUAUUUGAAGGAAAAUCCAUCGCUCUUUGUGGUUGAAAUGGAGAAGAUUCAUCAAUUGAGUUUCUAUCUUUAGUUUGUUUUUGUUAUGUUUCAUUUUUUUUCUUUUCUUUUUGUGGAUGGAAAAAUAAAGUACCUAUUGAUUACAAAAUACCAUAAAUUCAUGAAAUCAAUGACCCUAAUCUGAUUAAAAAAACAAAUCAAACUGCGAAUCUUUGAGCAAUUCUGUUUGAAAUGUUUAUUUAUACUUUAACCGAGAUGAAACUUUGUGUUUAUUGUGGGCUCAGUUAUUCCAUUUGAGCUCUUCAGAUGUGUUAGACUUCUUGGAUAGAUUUCUUGCCAUGAAUCCAGACUCAAGAGUGAAUGUUGAUUGAAUUGACUUGAUGAGGAAACAAGAACUAAUUGAUGCUCCUGAAGCAAGUGUGUUGUUUUCUGGUUUGCUGACACGAAGAAAGGUACCUCUUUACUGGUCUUUGUAUGCAGCCAAAGGACUAAAUUCAGCUAGGAUAUGCGAUUUUGACUAUUAAGGAACUACACCAGCAUGAGAGAAAACAUCUUUUGCUCUUGACAUUCACCACCUUAUUUGUCUACAUAGGAUGCAGGUCCACUCAUCAUUUGAUAGAAUCAAUCAUGUUAAGAUAUUGUAGUCCAAUGUCAUUUUCUUUCCUUUUCUUUUUAGUAGAUAUUUGUUUGUGUGUACUUAUUAACAUAUUCUAUGAUGUUUAAGGCUGCAAUCGUGCUCUCUAAUAUGCGGUGCGGACUUCAUAGUUAGGGGUGUUUACCGGAUUUUCUUUGGAUUUCGAGUUUUUCGGGUCGGGUAGUUUUAGUUUUUGUCUAGAAAAAACUGAAUCGAUCACCAACCCAUUUAAAGUUCGGGUUAGUCGGAUUUGGAUCGUUCAAGCCGGGUUGUUCAAUUUUCGAGUUAUAGAUGUAAAAUGAAAUUAAAUGUUUAUUUACAAAAUAUAAUCAAAAUUCAGAUUGCUACUUUAAAAGUAUCAUCAAAGUUAUGAUGAUACUUAAAAGUUUCAAAACUUAAUGUUCUAUAUAUUAAAGAGUCCAUACAAAAAGAUUUCUAUAAGAAUAAAACUCUAAAUAGUAUCAAAACAUAAUGUUCCGUAUAUUAAAGACUCCAUACCAAAAGAUUUCUACAAGAAAAAACAAUAAAUGUUUAUUUUUAUUCGGGUUUUAUGUUUCGGGUUUUUUGGGUCAGGUUGUUUGUUUGGGUUUUUAGCCUGAAAAAAGUGACCCGAUAACCGAACUAUUGAAAUAGUGGGUUGGUCGGGUUCGGGUUUUUCUCUAAUUCUGGUUCGGGUAAAAAUGAAGAGCCAUAUUCACAGGUAAUGAUAUUUCAUCAAAUUUAGUGCAUUCAGUGUAUAAAAUAUAUAUAUACAGAAAUUUUAAUUUACCAUACAAGUAGGAUAAGGGCUUCAUGAAACCAUUAAUGGUCAUGCUCAAAAGUGUGUUGGGAUUCUGAAUGGAAUUGAUAUUGAUUAUUGGAAUAGUUAGCUACAUUAAACCGGGUUAACCUUAUUAUAAAGGCACAUCGUUACAGUUAGAAUUUGUUUUUCCUCAAAAUCUUAUGCUACUAAAACAUGUUUUUAGAAGGAUGGAUUUGAUAAUGAGGUUACUGCACUUCUCUUACUAGCUAUUGAGGUGGAGCUUCAACCUAUCCAUGAACAUAGCAACCAAUAGGAACCCAGGUUGCUGCACCUUUUAGGACAAUUUGUUACCAUUUUCCUUCAAUGAUAUGUCAAUUAGGCUUUACACUCAACUCUUCUUCAACUAAGAGAGAGAUUCGCAAUGUACCGGAUCUUAUGCACAGAGGUGAAGCCUUGCGAUUUCAGGAUGUUCCCUUUUGGGCAUGUGCAACGUGACAUUCCGGCGUGUGCAAUGUGACUGUUGGUGUGUGCAAUGCAAUUGGUCCUGUGUGUGAUUUGCCAUGCUGUUACCGGCGACUUAACGACCACCAUGGCGGCGGUGGACCUGUGUAACGCCUUCUUUCUCUCUCUUUCAACAUUCUUUUGCGCCAAAGAUGAUGUCUUUUUCUAUUAUUUGUUUCUCUGAUGUGAUGUGAUACUGUUAAACCACACAUGAAUUCUAGAGUAGGUCAAAGCACGAACCGGGGGUAGAGCUAGGGUUCCCACGAACGGAUCUCCAGUGUAAUCAUGUAAUUUGUUGUUCAUUUUGCAAUUAUUUUAGGCUCUGCAUGACUGCAUCUGAGAUUCUUCUUUCCCUAUUAAGCCUUUGUUGAUUAAGAGGUUACUCCUACAUGUUUAGUUUUUAGCUUUACUUUUGUCAAUUUCUCCUUUUUUUUAUAUUUUAUUGUGUUUUUUUAUGUAUAAUAUAAAGAUUUGUUAUUGAACAAGUAACAAUGAUUCUAUUCAUACCAUAUUUGUUGUGCUAUAAUUUGGGGCCUCAUACGAUGUUAUUCUAGAUCACAACAGAUGCUUCAUCUUCUUCUAGAUAUGAUCAAAUCAUGACAAAAUCGAAGUCUAGAUGCAUGUUCUUUUUAUUAUUUCUUUUUUUUUCUAUCAAUUGUUGUUGUUUGUUACAUCCUUUGGGUGCUUACGUUUUACUUAUUUUCCCUGCAUUCAGAAUUUUUUUUACAGAAUUAGCCACCUAUACUUCUCAACUUUGUGGUGGACUUGGUUUGUUCAACCAAAAACUUGAAGCUCUCACUAGGUAAUUAAUAUCAUUGCUUCUGUCAUAGAUACGAAUUUCGAACUAAAGAAAUUGAACUAAUUGUUUGAAUUCAUAAAUGCCAACUAUUUUUUUGAAAAUAUAAUCUUACUUUGUUCGAUCCACUUUCGGUAGACAAUUGUGCCACUCGUGUGUUUUUUGUUGACGAGUUUGCCACUUGCUUUUUUUUAUUAGGUUUUUGUUUGAAAAUUAUUUGCUUAGACGUUGAUGUAAUUUCUCAAAUAGUUUUUAGUGAAGAGGAAGCGUGAGCGCAAAAAAGAGGUAAAUUUGGUGCUUUUAUGUCUUUUCGUAAUGGAAUUUGAUCUUUUCUUUUCUUUUUGUGGCCUACAUUCUCAUGUGUUGAUUCAAUAUAAAUAUUAAUAUAUUAUAAAAAAUAUAUACUUUUAUAAAAUGUGAUAUAGGGAAACACUAUAUCCACGCCCGGCAUAAAAAGGACUAUCCUACCAGGUAUCACAACAAACAGUAUUAUUGAUGUGGCUCAUGAUCAAAUGAGUGGAAAGUGCCAUUCAAAGAUGAUGGAGAUAUGAUGUUUAUGAGGAUGAUCCGUGGCCGUGAGCCUUUCAAAAAACUAUUUUAAAAACAAUGCAUUUAUUUGUAAACAAAGUCUGAUAAUGUGGUUGUGACUACAGGAAGUUUAUUUAGUUCAAGUUGCCAAUGCAAUGAGGGCGGGAAGUAAGUUUUGCAUCAGGGAGUUGAUGCUGACAUCAAGAAAUGGAAGAGAACGUUAACCCAGAUCCAAGGUGUGCUUGCUGACGCUUCUCAGAAGGAGAUAACAAGUCCACCUGUGAAACAAUGGCUCAAUGAUCUCCAACAUCUGGCUUAUGAUAUGAUGUUUGUAUGCUUUAUAGGAGAUGAUGAGAACACAAAUGAUAUGCCAUGUGCCAGCCCUACAAGGCAGUUGGACUAUGAAGAGGAAUUGUCAAAUUCAUUGGAGCUGAGUGAUGAGUAUGCAUUUGAUGAUGAAGUUGGCAAGAGUUUGAAUCAGAUGGCUUUUGUUCCUGUAAGUGUCGUAUAUAGUUAUCAAAAUAACAUGUUCUUUUUCAAUUUUUAUGUUAACAACUUCUUCCCCUAUCAAUUAAAAUAACUUUUCUGAUUUAAACUUAAAAAUGAAACUAAAUAUAUUGUAUUU